rfam:Triticum aestivum genome assembly, contig: Triticum_aestivum_CS42_TGACv1_scaffold_578415_7BL
UAUAUAUUACCUCUGCCCCAAAUUAGUUGUCUUAGAUUUAUCUAAAUACGGAUGUACCUAGCACUAAAAAUUGUUUAGAUACAUCUGUAUCUAUACAAAUCUAAGACAACUAAUUCGGGAUGGAGGGAGUAAUGU